rnacentral:rRNA from 1 species
AGGGUUCGAUUCUGGCUCAGGACGAACGCUGGCGGCGUGCUUAACACAUGCAAGUCGAACGAGACGAUUGAAAGCUUGCUUUUGAGAGUCGAGUGGCAAACGGGUGAGUAACGCGUAGACAACCUGCCGUAAAGAUGGGGACAACAGUUCGAAAGGACUGCUAAUACCGAAUGUUGUAGAGUUUCCGCAUGGGGAUUCUACUAAAGGUGGCCUCUACUUGUAAGCUAUCGCUUUACGAUGGGUCUGCGUCUGAUUAGCUAGUUGGUGGGGUAACGGCCUACCAAGGCGACGAUCAGUAGCCGGUCUGAGAGGAUGAACGGCCACAUUGGAACUGAGACACGGUCCAG